GUUUCUGGGCUGCAGGUGCUUUGUGGUUUCAUCACAUUGUUAACAGGCCAAAAUACCCUGACUGACAAGACCAUAACCCUACAAGUGGAGCCCAGUGGCACCACCACGUGAAGGACAAGAUCCAGGAUAAAGAGGGCACCGCCCCCCACCCCCAGCAGCGACUCAUCUUUGCAGGCAAGCAGCUGGAAGAUGGCCACACUUUCUGAUUACAACAUCCAGAAAGAGUCACCCUGCACCUGGUCCUCCAUCGGAGGGUGUAUGCAGAUCUCUGUGAG